rnacentral:piRNA from 1 species
UAGCCUCAUGCAUCUCAAGGGAAUCACUUC